ACCUAGACCCGAUUGAAGUGAGCAUCCCGAUAAUUCAUCGGGAUAAAACGGAAAGCGGGAACAAAC
rnacentral:sRNA from 1 species